rnacentral:lncRNA from 1 species
GGCUCGCUGACUAAACAAAAUUAUGCUGAUGUGUACUAAAACAAAAUUAAAAAUUAAGUUUUCAAAUUUUUUUAUUAUAUUAGAGGGCAAAAAUGUAAAUAACCAAAAACCCAUUAACAACUAAUAUAAGAAAUAAUUAAAUAAAUUGAAUAACUAAUGCUCUCCACAUCUCUCCCAUUCUAAAUCAUGAACAUUCGCCAAAUCAGAUGAAACCCAUAACACAUUAAUCAGAUGAAACCCAGAUCUAUUCAGCCAUAACACAUGAGGUGGCAGAUGAAUAAAGAGCUCCAAGAUCUGUUGUGUGUUAUGAGCUAACAAAUCAGAUUUGGCUGAAUAAAGAGAUGAAACGGCAAUAGACCAAAUUUGGCUAACAAUUCAUUGCAGCAGUAGAUUUGGCUGAAUAGAUGUGUUAUGUGUUAUGAGCACCCAGAUGAAACCCAGAUGAAACGGUUUCAUCUAUGGAGCUCUUGAACGAUGGCGGAUCUGGCAAGGCCCCGGUGGUCGGCUACAAAGAUAUUGGCGGAUUUGUCUACCAUUUUCGGCUUCUGUUGAUUGUUGGGAGAUCUCCCCAUCUCCACCAUGGUCGCCAUUGUAGAAAUCUGUCUGUGUACAGAUUUGUUUUGUUUGAACUGAACUGAAAGCUUUUUUGUUGGUGUGAUGUUGAUGAUGGCGGUACCGAGAAUGGGUUAUGCGUUGAUGAUAGUAGUGUGAUGGAGGAAGAUGAAAUGCUAGAUCUGAUUUGGGUUUUAUUUUUGUUUAAAUUUAGUUAAAAUUAAUAUAAAAUAUUAUAUUAUUUUUUUCUCCUUUAAAAUCAAUAAAAUAAUUUAAAGAUCAGCUUUCUUUUAACAUAAGAAUUGCAUUGCCAUGUGGCCAUACCAC